rnacentral:rRNA from 1 species
CCUACGGGUGGCUGCAGUGGGGAAUAUUGCACAAUGGAGGAAACUCUGAUGCAGCGACGCCGCGUGAGGGAAGAAGUAAUUCGGUAUGUAAAGCUCUAUCAGCAGGGAAGAAAAUGACGGUACCUGACGAAGAAGCACCGGCUAAAUACGUGCCAGCAGCCGCGGUAAUACGUAGGGAGCAAGCGUUAUCCGGAUUUACUGGGUGUAAAGGGAGCGUAGGCGGCCGGGCAAGUCCGAAGUGAAAACCCGAAGCUCAACUAUGGGAUUGCUUUAGAAACUGCUCAGCUAGAGUGCAGUAGCGGUAAGUGGAAUGCUUGGUGUAGCGGUGAAAUGCGUAGAGAUCAGGAGGAACACCAGUGGCGAAGGCGGCUUGCUGGACUGUAACUGACGCUGAGGCUCGAAAGCGUGGGGAGCAAACAGGAUUAGAUACCCCUGUAGUC